rnacentral:rRNA from 1 species
CCUACGGGCUGCACCAGUAGGGAAUCUUCGGCAAUGGACGAAAGUCUGACCGAGCAACGCCGCGUGAGUGAGGAAGGUUUUCGGAUUGUAAAACUCUGUUGUUAGAGAAGAACAAGUAGGAGAGUAACUGCUCUUACCUUGACGGUAUCUAACCAGAAAGCCACGGCUAACUACGUGCCAGCAGCCGCGGUAAUACGUAGGUGGCAAGCGUUGUCCGGAUUUAUUGGGCGUAAAGCGAGCGCAGGCGGUCUUUUAAGUCUGAUGUGAAAGCCCUCGGCUCAACCGAGGAAGGUCAUUGGAAACUGGAGGACUUGAGUGCAGAAGAGGAGAGUGGAAUUCCAUGUGUAGCGGUGAAAUGCGCAGAUAUAUGGAGGAACACCAGUGGCGAAGGCGACUCUCUGGUCUGUAACUGACGCUGAAGCUCGAAAGCGUGGGGAGCAAACAGGAUUAGAUACCCUGGUAGUC